CCUACGGGAGGCUGCAGUGAGGAAUAUUGGUCAAUGGACGAGAGUCUGAACCAGCCAAGUAGCGUGAAGGAUGACUGCCCUAUGGGUUGUAAACUUCUUUUAUAUGGGAAUAAAAUGUUCCACGUGUGGGAUUUUGUAUGUACCAUAUGAAUAAGGAUCGGCUAACUCCGUGCCAGCAGCAGCGGUAAUACGGAGGAUCCGAGCGUUAUCCGGAUUUAUUGGGUUUAAAGGGAGCGUAGGUGGAUUGUUAAGUCAGUUGUGAAAGUGUGCGGCUAAACCGGAAAAUUGCAGUUGAAACUGGCAGUCUUGAGUACAGUAGAGGUGGGCGGAAUUCGUGGUGUAGCGGUGAAAUGCUUAGAUCUCACGAAGAACUCCGAUUGCGAAGGCAGUUCACUGGACUGCAACCGACACUGAGGCUCGAAAGUGUGGGUAUCAAACAGGAUUAGAUACCCUAGUAGUC
rnacentral:rRNA from 1 species